rnacentral:rRNA from 1 species
AGGUGAGCGAGCGAACUCUCGUUAAGGAACUCGGCAAAAUGACCCCGUAACUUCGGGAGAAGGGGUGCUCUUUAGGGUUAACGCCCAGAAGAGCCGCAGUGAAUAGGCCCAAGCGACUGUUUAUCAAAAACACAGGUCUCUGCUAAACCGUAAGGUGAUGUAUAGGGGCUGACGCCUGCCCGGUGCUGGAAGGUUAAGAGGAGUGGUUAGCUUCUGCGAAGCUACGAAUCGAAGCCCCAGUAAACGGCGGCCGUAACUAUAACGGUCCUAAGGUAGCGAAAUUCCUUGUCGGGUAAGUUCCGACCCGCACGAAAGGCGUAACGAUUUGGGCACUGUCUCAACGAGAGACUCGGUGAAAUCAUAGUACCUGUGAAGAUGCAGGUUACCCGCGACAGGACGGAAAGACCCCGUGGAGCUUUACUGUAGCCUGAUAUUGAAAUUCGGCACAGCUUGUACAGGAUAGGUAGGAGCCUUUGAAACGUGAGCGCUAGCUUACGUGGAGGCGCUGGUGGGAUACUACCCUAGCUGUGUU